rnacentral:misc_RNA from 1 species
GAAAUGCGAUAAGUAAUGUGAAUUGCAGAAUUCAGUGAAUCAUCGAAUCUUUGAACGCACAUUGCGCCCGCCAGUAUUCUGGCGGGCAUGCCUGUUCGAGCGUCAUUACAACCCUCAGGCCCCCGGGCCUGGCGUUGGGGAUCGGCGGAAGCCCCCUGCGGGCACAACGCCGUCCCCCAAAUACAGUGGCGGUCCCGCCGCAGCUUCCAUUGCGUAGUAGCUAACACCUCGCAACUGGAGAGCGGCGCGGCCACGCCGUAAAACACCCAACUUCUGAAUGUUGACCUCGAAUCAGUUAGGAAUACCCGCUGAACUUAAGC